GGGCGUGUGUGCUGGUAUGAGUCUUCCAUCCUUCUAGAGAGCCACGCCUGCUGUUCACUCAGCUGGGCGUGUGCGAUCUAGAUCAUUUACUUUGAAAAAAUUAGAGUGUUUAAAGCAGGCUUAUGCCCGAAUACAUUAGCAUGGAAUAAUAAAAUAGGACUUCGGUUCUAUUUUGUUGGUUUCUAGAACUGAAGUAAUGAUUGAUAGGGAUAGUUGGGGGUGCUAGUAUUCAGUGGCCAGAGGUGAAAUUCUUGGAUUCACUGAAGACUAACUACUGCGAAAGCAUUCACCAAGGAUGUCUUCUUUAAUCAAGAACGAAAGUUGGGGGAUCGAAGACGAUCAGAUACCGUCGUAGUCUCAACCAUAAACUAUACCGACUAAGGAUCAGUGGACGUCUUAUUUCGACUCCAUUGGCACUUUAUGAGAAAUCAAAGUCUUUGGGUUCCGGGGGGAGUAUGGUCGCAAGGCUGAAACUUAAAGGAAUUGACGGAAGGGCACCACCAGGAGUGGAGCCUGCGGCUUAAUUUGACUCAACACGGGAAAACUCACCAGGUCCAGACAUAGUGAGGAUUGACAGAUUGAAGAUCUUUCUUGAUUCUGUGGGGAGUGGUGCAUGGCCGUUCUUAGUUGGUGGAUUGAUCUGUCUGGUUUAUUCCGAUAACGAACGAGACCUUAGUCUGCUAAAUAGUGUUGCGAACCACCUAACGGGUGAAUCCAGGGAGGUACUGGGGCUUCGG
rnacentral:rRNA from 1 species